UACGAAGGGGGCUAGCGUUGCUCGGAAUCACUGGGCGUAAAGCGCACGUAGGCGGCUCAGUAAGUCGGGUGUGAAACCUCCAGGCUCAACCUGGAGACGCCACCUGAUACUGCUGUGGCUAGAGUCCGGUAGGGGAGCGUGGAAUUCCUGGUGUAGCGGUGAAAUGCGCAGAUAUCAGGAGGAACACCAGCGGCGAAGGCGGCGCUCUGGGCCGGAACUGACGCUGAGGAGCGAAAGCGUGGGGAGCAAACAGG
rnacentral:rRNA from 1 species